rnacentral:rRNA from 1 species
GCCUUGCCGUAAAUUUAGAUGUUUUUCUACAACAAACAUCCGCCUGGGGACUACGAGCGCUAGCUUAAAACCCAAAGGACUUGGCGGUGCUUCAGACCCCCCUAGAGGAGCCUGUUCUAGGACCGAUAACCCCCGUUUAACCUCACUACUCCUUGCUCCCCCCGCCUAUAUACCGCCGUCGCCAGCUUACCCUAUGAAGGCACCACAGUAAGCAGAAUGGGUACUACCCAGAACGUCAGGUCGAGGUGUAGCGUACGAAGUAGGAAGAAAUGGGCUACAUUAUCUGAUACAGAUCACUCACGGAAGGCUGCCUGAAACAGACAGCCCGAAGGCGGAUUUAGCAGUAAGGAAAGACUAGAGCGCUUCCCUGAAGUUGGCUCUGAAGCGCGC